UGCCAGCAGCCGCGGUAAUACGGAGGGUGCGAACGUUAAUCGGAAUUACUGGGCGUAAAGCGCGCGUAGGCGGUUUAUUAAGUGGGAUGUGAAAGCCCUGGGCUCAACCUGGGAACUGCAUUCCAAACUGACAAACUAGAGUACGAGAGAGGGGGGUAGAAUUCAGAGUGUAGCGGUGAAAUGCGUAGAUAUUCUGAGGAAUACCAGUGGCGAAGGCGGCCCCCUGGACUGAUAUUGACGCUGAGGUGCGAAAGCGUGGGGAGCAAACAGGAUUAGAUA
rnacentral:rRNA from 1 species